UGGGGAAUAUUGGACAAUGGGCGCAAGCCUGAUCCAGCAAUGCCGCGUGGGUGAAGAAGGUCUUCGGAUUGUAAAGCCCUUUCGGCGGGGACGAUGGUGACGGUACCCGCAGAAGAAGCCCCGGCCAACUUCGUGCCAGCAGCCGCGGUAAUACGAAGGGGGCUAGCGUUGCUCGGAAUCACUGGGCGUAAAGGGCGCGUAGGCGGCGCAUCCAGUCGGGCGUGAAAUCCCCGGGCUCAACCCGGGGGCUGCGCCCGAUACGGCCGCGCUGGAGGACGGGAGAGGCUCGCGGAAUUCCCAGUGUAGAGGUGAAAUUCGUAGAUAUUGGGAAGAACACCGGUGGCGAAGGCGGCGAGCUGGCCCGUUUCUGACGCUGAGGCGCGACAGCGUGGGGAGCAAACAG
rnacentral:rRNA from 1 species